rnacentral:rRNA from 1 species
GACGAACGCUGGCGGCGUGCUUAACACAUGCAAGUCGAACGGAAAGGCCCUGCUUGCAGGGUGCUCGAGUGGCGAACGGGUGAGUAACACGUGGGUGAUCUGCCCCUUACUUUGGGAUAAGCCUGGGAAACUGGGUCUAAUACUGGAUAGGACCGUGCUGUAGGUGGUGUGGUGGAAAGAUUAGUUUCGGUAAGGGAUGAGCUCGCGGCCUAUCAGCUUGUUGGUGGGGUAAUGGCCUACCAAGGCGUCGACGGGUAGCCGGCCUGAGAGGGUGGACGGCCACAUUGGGACUGAGAUACGGCCCAGACUCCUACGGGAGGCAGCAGUGGGGAAUAUUGCACAAUGGGCGCAAGCCUGAUGCAGCGACGCCGCGUGGGGGAUGAAGGCCUUCGGGUUGUAAACUCCGUUCAGCCAUGACGAAGCCCUUGUGGUGACGGUAGUGGUAGAAGAAGCACCGGCUAACUACGUG